rnacentral:rRNA from 1 species
GACGAACGCUGGCGGCGUGCCUAAUACAUGCAAGUAGAACGCAGUUGCGAACGGGUGAGUAACGCGUAGGUAACUGCCUCAUAGCGGGGGAACACUAUUGGAAACGAUAGCUAAUACCGCAUACUGUGAGAUGGACCUGCGUUGUAUUAGCUAUUUGGGGAGGUAAAGGCUCAACAAGGCGCCGAUACAUAGCCGACCUGAGAGGGUGGACGGCCACAAGUGGAAUGAGGAACGGCCCAGACUCCUUAGGGAGGCAACAGUAGGGAAACUUUGGCAAAGGGCCGAAGGCUGGCCGCGCAACGCCGCGGGAGUUAAGAAGGUUUUCGGAUCGUUAAGCUCUGUUGUUAGAGAAGCGGUAACUAACCAGAAAGGGACGGCUAACUACGUGCCAGCAGCCGCGGUAAUAC